rnacentral:rRNA from 1 species
GACGAACGCUGGCGGCGUGCCUAAUACAUGCAAGUAGAACGCUGAAGAGAGGAGCUUGCUCUUCUUGGAUGAGUUGCGAACGGGUGAGUAACGCGUAGGUAACCUGCCUGGUAGCGGGGGAUAACUAUUGGAAACGAUAGCUAAUACCGCAUAAAAUGGAUUAUCGCAUGAUAAUCCAUUGAAAGGUGCAAAUGCAUCACUACCAGAUGGACCUGCGUUGUAUUAGCUAGUUGGUGGGGUAACGGCUCACCAAGGCGACGAUACAUAGCCGACCUGAGAGGGUGAUCGGCCACACUGGGACUGAGACACGGCCCAGACUCCUACGGGAGGCAGCAGUAGGGAAUCUUCGGCAAUGGACGGAAGUCUGACCGAGCAACGCCGCGUGAGUGAAGAAGGUUUUCGGAUCGUAAAGCUCUGUUGUAAGAGAAGAACGAAUGUGAGAGUGGAAAGUUCACACUGUGACGGUAUCUGACCAGAAAGGGACGGCUAACUACGUG